rnacentral:rRNA from 1 species
GACGAACGCUGGCGGCGUGCCUAAUACAUGCAAGUCGAACGCUUCUUUCCUCCCGAGUGCUUGCACUCAAUUGGAAAGAGGAGUGGCGGACGGGUGAGUAACACUUGGGUAACCUACCCAUCAGAGGGGGAUAACACUUGGAAACAGGUGCUAAUACCGCAUAACAGUUUAUGCCGCAUGGCAUAAGAGUGAAAGGCGCUUUCGGGUGUCGUUGAUGGAUGGACCCGCGGUGCAUUAGCUAGUUGGUGAGGUAACGGCUCACCAAGGCCACGAUGCAUAGCCGACCUGAGAGGGUGAUCGGCCACACUGGGACUGAGACACGGCCCAGACUCCUACGGGAGGCAGCAGUAGGGAAUCUUCGGCAAUGGACGAAAGUCUGACCGAGCAACGCCGCGUGAGUGAAGAAGGUUUUCGGAUCGUAAAACUCUGUUGUUAGAGAAGAACAAGGACGUUAGUAACUGAACGUGCCCUGACGGUAUCUAACCAGAAAGCCACGGCUAACUACGUG